rnacentral:rRNA from 1 species
UACGGGGGGGGCAAGCGUUGUUCGGAAUUACUGGGCGUAAAGGGCUUGUAGGUGGCCAACUAAGUCAGACGUGAAAUCCCUCAGCUUAACUGGGGAACUGCGUCUGAUACUGGAUGGCUUGAGUUUGGGAGAGGGAAGCGGAAUUCCAGGUGUAGCGGUGAAAUGCGUAGAUAUCUGGAGGAACACCGGUGGCGAAGGCGGCAUCCUGGACCAUCACUGACGCUGAGAAGCGAAAGCCAGGGGAGCAAACGGG